UGUAUAAUGGGUCAGCGACUUAUAUUCUGUAGCAAGGUUAACCGAAUAGGGGAGCCGAAGGGAAACCGAGUCUUAACUGGGCGUUAAGUUGCAGGGUAUAGACCCGAAACCCGGUGAUCUAGCCAUGGGCAGGUUGAAGGUUGGGUAACACUAACUGGAGGACCGAACCGACUAAUGUUGAAAAAUUAGCGGAUGACUUGUGGCUGGGGGUGAAAGGCCAAUCAAACCGGGAGAUAGCUGGUUCUCCCCGAAAGCUAUUUAGGUAGCGCCUCGUGAAUUCAUCUCCGGGGGUAGAGCACUGUUUCGGCAAGGGGGUCAUCCCGACUUACCAACCCGAUGCAAACUGCGAAUACCGGAGAAUGUUAUCACGGGAGACACACGGCGGGUGCUAACGUCCGUCGUGAAGAGGGAAACAACCCAGACCGCCAGCUAAGGUCCCAAAGUCAUGGUUAAGUGGGAAACGAUGUGGGAAGGCCCAGACAGCCAGGAUGUUGGCUUAGAAGCAGCCAUCAUUUAAAGAAAGCGUAAUAGCUCACUGGUCGAGUCGGCCUGCGCGGAAGAUGUAACGGGGCUAAACCAUGCACCGAAGCUGCGGCAGCGACGCUUAUGCGUUGUUGGGUAGGGGAGCGUUCUGUAAGCCUGCGAAGGUGUGCUGUGAGGCAUGCUGGAGGUAUCAGAAGUGCGAAUGCUGACAUAAGUAACGAUAAAGCGGGUGAAAAGCCCGCUCGCCGGAAGACCAAGGGUUCCUGUCCAACGUUAAUCGGGGCAGGGUGAGUCGACCCCUAAGGCGAGGCCGAAAGGCGUAGUCGAUGGGAAACAGGUUAAUAUUCCUGUACUUGGUGUUACUGCGAAGGGGGGACGGAGAAGGCUAUGUUGGCCGGGCGACGGUUGUCCCGGUUUAAGCGUGUAGGCUGGUUUUCCAGGCAAAUCCGGAAAAUCAAGGCUGAGGCGUGAUGACGAGGCACUACGGUGCUGAAGCAACAAAUGCCCUGCUUCCAGGAAAAGCCUCUAAGCAUCAGGUAACAUCAAAUCGUACCCCAAACCGACACAGGUGGUCAGGUAGAGAAUACCAAGGCGCUUGAGAGAACUCGGGUGAAGGAACUAGGCAAAAUGGUGCCGUAACUUCGGGAGAAGGCACGCUGAUAUGUAGGUGAAGCGACUUGCUCGUGGAGCUGAAAUCAGUCGAAGAUACCAGCUGGCUGCAACUGUUUAUUAAAAACACAGCACUGUGCAAACACGAAAGUGGACGUAUACGGUGUGACGCCUGCCCGGUGCCGGAAGGUUAAUUGAUGGGGUUAGCGGUAACGCGAAGCUCUUGAUCGAAGCCCCGGUAAACGGCGGCCGUAACUAUAACGGUCCUAAGGUAGCGAAAUUCCUUGUCGGGUAAGUUCCGACCUGCACGAAUGGCGUAAUGAUGGCCAGGCUGUCUCCACCCGAGACUCAGUGAAAUUGAACUCGCUGUGAAGAUGCAGUGUACCCGCGGCAAGACGGAAAGACCCCGUGAACCUUUACUAUAGCUUGACACUGAACAUUGAGCCUUGAUGUGU
rnacentral:rRNA from 1 species